CCCCUAGGUGUUCUGGGCCGCACGCGCGCUACACUGAACAGUUCAACAAGUCUUAACCUUGGCCGAUAGGUCUGGGUAAUCUUUGAACGCUGUUCGUGAUUGGGAUAGACCUUUGCAAUUAUGGGUCUUCAACGAGGAAUUCCUAGUAAACGCAAGUCAUCAGCUUGCAUUGAUUACGUCCCUGCCCUUUGUACACACCGCCCGUCGCACCUACCGAUUGAAUGGUCCGGUGAAAUCUCGGGACGGCGGCUCGGUCGCUUGCGUCCGACUGCUGAAACUUGAUUAAACCAUAUCAUUUAGAGGAAGGUGAAGUCGUAACA
rnacentral:rRNA from 1 species